UUGCCGGCGACCGGCGCACGGGUGAGUAACGCGUAUCCCACUUUCCGCUUACUCGGGGAUAGCCUUUCGAAAGAAAGAUUCAUACCCGAUGGUAUCUUAAGCACGCAUGAGAUUAAGAUUAAAGAUUUAUCGGUAAGCGAUGGGGAUGCGUUCCAUUAGGCAGUUGGCGGGGUAACGGCCCACCAAACCUACGAUGGAUAGGGGUUCUGAGAGGAAGGUCCCCCACAUUGGAACUGAGACACGGUCCAAACUCCUACGGGGGCAGCAGUGAGGAAUAUUGGUCAAUGGGCGAGAGCCUGAACCAGCCAAGUAGCGUGAAGGAUGACGGCCCUACGGGUUGUAAACUUCUUUUGUGCGGGAAUAAAGGAACCUACGUGUAGGUUUUUGCAUGUACCGUAACGAAUAAGCAUCGGCUAACUCCGUGCCAGCAGCCGCGGUAAUACGGAGGAUGCGAGCGUUAUCCGGAUUUAUUGGGUUUAAAGGGAGCGUAGACGGGUUUUUAAGUCAGCUGUGAAAGUUUGGGGCUCAACCUUAAAAUUGCAGUUGAAACUGGAGACCUUGAGUACGGUUGAGGCAGGCGGAAUUCGUGGUGUAGCGGUGAAAUGCUUAGAUAUCACGAAGAACUCCGAUUG
rnacentral:rRNA from 1 species